CUUGGCCACUGGGUUGCUGGUGAUUUUCUUCAUGGAGACAGAAAACAGAAGGAGGGACCAAAGUACAUUAGACCUGGGGACAGAAUUGAGUUCAGUCCUGGGCAUGUUGAAUCAUCUGGCGAUGGGGCUUUGGAGCUGAGGGGGUGCCAGGCCCUAAGGUGGAGAUUGGGAGAUCAUCAGGAUAUAUGUCCCAGGUAAAGAGUUAAGAGUGUUGGGUUUGAGGGAAGUGCAUGAAAUGGACCAAGAAGAUCAUUUUAAAGAGGGAUGGAGAAGAACAGAAAGUUGGACCAAGGAGAGGAUGCCAGUGUGGCCUGUGUCAAAGAGAUGCCAUGAGAGGAAGGCAGAAAGGAAAUAGCAAUAAAUUGAAUGCAACCAAUACUUCUGAUACUUGCUACUUCUCAAGACUCUCAAGCAUGAAAAUAUCUUAGUCUUCCCCUCUCAAAAUGGACAUAACCUGCAAAUAGAGCACCUCGAGAAAAGGACGCCCAUAAAAACAAUAAAACAAUACCACGUGCAACGGUUACUAAUGCGGAUUUUAUAAUCAAAGAAAACACGAUCAU